AUCCAUGACUCCAUGGGGGCUGCCGCCCGUGGCUGUCUCCCUUCCUAGGCAUGGAAGAGCAAGUCCUUGCUGAUUGGCACAACUUUUACCUUCUUGUAGGUAUUAGUCGUUGACAAGAGCAAGUAACAGGC
rnacentral:snoRNA from 1 species